CUCAGGAGUUCCUCCAGUCUCUGUCAGAGCAUAGGGCUCUGCUACCAGUGAGGGUACUGGGCAGGGAUUUUUGAAGACAGCAGGAAGAGAGAAGAAGAGAAAGGUCUGCAUGUUGGACUUAAAAAUGGUUCAAAUGCAAGAGACCAGAAUGUCCUAUGGGGGCUAAUUCCUUCAUUCUGGGCCAUAUAAUGAAGAGGACAUGGAACACAACUGCAAGCUAAUCAACAACAUAUAAGGUAACCAAAAUAGAUACAUAUAUAUAUUUGUAAACACUGUAAUUUUGGAGUAAUUUGUUAUUUCAGUACAACCUAGUGAAAGCUGGCUAAUACAUUAUGGGAACAUACAUUGAAAUAGAAAUUAGGAGUAAUCUCAAUUUUUUUUGGAACAACUUUUUAAAAAGAGCUGGACUUUUCAUAUCCCUUAUCUAUCCUCAUGCAUAGAUGACAUGACCAGUGUAGAUUUACAGCCCUUUGAGACUGGGCAG